rnacentral:rRNA from 11 species
CAGGUUGAGAAGCACUGAUCUAAGGACACAAAAUCCUUUCUGAUCUUAGAAGCCAAGCAGAGCCAAUCCUGGAUAGUACUUAAAUGGAAGACCAUCAAUGAAUACCAAUGCAUUGGGCUGU